rnacentral:rRNA from 1 species
UACGGAGGGAGCUAGCGUUGUUCGGAAUUACUGGGCGUAAAGCGCACGUAGGCGGCUUUGCAAGUCGGAUGUGAAAUCCCUCGGCUUAACCAAGGAAGUGCAUCCGAAACUGCAGAGCUUGAGUACUUAAGAGGAUCGCGGAAUUCCCGGUGUAGAGGUGAAAUUCGUAGAUAUCGGGAGGAACACCAGUGGCGAAGGCGACUACCUGGCCUGUUCUUGACGCUGAGGCGCGAAAGCUAGGGGAGCAAACGGG